rnacentral:rRNA from 1 species
UUGGAGGGCAAGUCUGGUGCCAGCAGCCGCGGUAAUUCCAGCUCCAAUAGCGUAUAUUAAAGUUGUUGCAGUUAAAAAGCUCGUAGUUGAAUUUCAGGCCUGGCUGGACGGUCCGCCCUUCGGGUGAGUACUGUCUGUGGUCGGGUCCUACCUUCUGGCGAAGCGUCAUGGCCUUAACCGGCCGUGGCGGGGAACCAGGACUUUUACUGUGAAAAAAUUAGAGUGUUUAAAGCAAGCUAACGCUUGAAUACAUUAGCAUGGAAUAAUGAAAUAGGACGUUCGAUCCUAUUUUGUUGGUUUCUAGGAUUGACGUAAUGAUUAAUAGGGAUAGUUGGGGGCAUUAGUAUUCAAUUGUCAGAGGUGAAAUUCUUGGAUUUAUUGAAGACUAACUUCUGCGAAAGCAUUUGCCAAGGAUGUUUUCAUUAAUCAAGAACGAAAGUUAGGGGAUCGAAGACGAUCAGAUACCGUCGUAGUCUUAACCAUAAACUAUGCCGACUAGGGAUCGGACGAUGUUAAUUUUUUAAUGACUCAUUCGGCGCCUUACGGGAAAC